GGAAGUGUGGCUGAGUGGUCGAAAGCGCCGCUCUCGAAAAGCGGUAUAGGGGAAACCUUAUCGGAGGUUCGAAUCCUCCCACUUCCG
rnacentral:tRNA from 1 species